rnacentral:rRNA from 1 species
AUUGAACGCUGGCGGCAUGCUUUACACAUGCAAGUCGAACGGCAGCACAGGGGAGCUUGCUCCCGGGUGGCGAGUGGCGCACGGGUGAGUAAUACAUCGGAACGUGUCCUGUUGUGGGGGAUAACUGCUCGAAAGGGUGGCUAAUACCGCAUGAGACCUGAGGGGUGAAAGCGGGGGGAUCGCAAGACCUCGCGCAAUUGGAGCGGCCGAUGCCCGAUUAGCUAGUUGGUGAGGUAAAGGCUCACCAAGGCGACGAUCGGGUAGCUGGUCUGAGAGGACGACCAGGCCACACUGGGACUGAGACAC